rnacentral:rRNA from 1 species
GGAUGAACGCUGGCGGCGUGCCUAAUACAUGCAAGUCGAGCGAACGGACGAGAAGCUUGCUUCUCUGAUGUUAGCGGCGGACGGGUGAGUAACACGUGGAUAACCUACCUAUAAGACUGGGAUAACUUCGGGAAACCGGAGCUAAUACCGGAUGAUAUUUUGAACCGCAUGGUUCAAAAGUGAAAGACGGUCUUGCUGUCACUUAUAGAUGGAUCCGCGCUGCAUUAGCUAGUUGGUAAGGUAACGGCCUACCAAGGCAACGAUGCAUAGCCGACCUGAGAGGGUGAUCGGCCACACUGGAACUGAGACACGGUCCAGACUCCUACGGGAGGCAGCAGUAGGGAAUCUUCCGCAAUGGGCGAAAGCCUGACGGAGCAACGCCGCGUGAGUGAUGAAGGUCUUCGGAUCGUAAAACUCUGUUAUUAGGGAAGAACAUAUGUGUAAGUAACUGUGCACAUCUUGACGGUACCUAAUCAGAAAGCCACGGCUAACUACGUG